AGAGUUUGAUCCUGGCUCAGAUUGAACGCUGGCGGCAUGCUUUACACAUGCAAGUCGAACGGGGUGAGGGGGCAACUCUUCACUUAGUGGCGAACGGGUGAGUAAUGCAUCGGAACGUGUCCCGCAGUGGGGGAUAACGCCGCGAAAGCGGCGCUAAUACCGCAUACGCUCUGCGGAGGAAAGCGGGGGACCUGAGAGGGCCUCGCGCUAUGGGAGCGGCCGAUGUCCGAUUAGCUAGUUGGUGGGGUAAUGGCUUACCAAGGCGACGAUCGGUAGCUGGUCUGAGAGGAUGAUCAGCCACACUGGGACUGAGACACGGCCCAGACUCCUACGGGAGGCAGCAGUGGGGAAUUUUGGACAAUGGGGGCAACCCUGAUCCAGCCAUGCUGCGUGCGGGAAGAAGGCCUUCGGGUUGUAAACCGCUUUUAGCCGGGACGAAAGCUCUACGGAUAACACCCGUAGGGGUUGACGGUACCGGCGGAAUAAGCACCGGCUAACUACGUGCCAGCAGCCGCGGUAAUAC
rnacentral:rRNA from 1 species